rnacentral:tRNA from 1 species
UGUAGCUCAAUGGUAGAGCACUCACUUAGCAUGUGUGAGGCCCUAGGUUUAAUCCCUAGUA